rnacentral:rRNA from 1 species
GACGAACGCUGGCGGCGUGCUUAAUACAUGCAAGUCAACGAUUUUUAAGAUAGCAAUAUUUUAAAAUAGUGGCGCACGGUGAGUAACACGUAGAUAAUCUGCCUUUAGGUCUGACAUAACUCGUCGAAAGACGGGCUAAUAUCAGAUAAAACAAUAACUUGGCAUCAAGUAAUUGUCAAAAGCUUCGGCGCCCAAAGAUGAGUCUGCGGACCAUUAGGUAGUUGGUGGAUUAACAGCCCACCAAGCCAACGAUGGAUAGCUGGUCUGAGAGGAUGAUCAGCCACACUGGAACUGAGACACGGUCCAGACUCCUACGGGAGGCAGCGAG